rnacentral:misc_RNA from 1 species
UGGAGCACGUACUUUCGAGGAUCAGACGAGAGAAUGGACCACGGAUGCAGAAAAGAUACCAAGUAGAGGACUGGCUCAACAGGGUCGAUGUGUUUCAAACUGAAACUGUCCAAAUCAUUGCAGAUGCAGAGGAAGAAAUUCAAGAAAAAUGUAUCAGGUUUUUCUGUCCCAAGAACUGCUGCUCUUGUAAUAGGGUGGGAAUUAGGGUGACCAACAAACUAGAAAAUGUGCAGGAAUUGUUAAGGGAUGGUAAUUUCACUGAUGUGGUAGAGAGUAAUCCUGAUGCAGAGAAUAAUUUGGUUAACACGGUUACGGAAUUUUUUCUGCAGAGUACCCAGCGGGUGAUACGAAUUUUUGGGUUAAGAGCAACUGAUGAGAUUCAGGUAUAAUCACUCGAAUCCAAAAUUUGAUCGGAAAUUAAGGAAGCAUAAAUUUUUUAGGAGUUUUAAAGGGCAAAAUCAGGUGCAUUCUUUAAAAUGGAGAGUUAAUUUAUUGUUUGUAUUGUCCUUGUUACUGUGCAUCCAGUAGAAAGCGUGUUGUUUGUAUACUUCGCUAUUCCAAUAAUGAUCUCCUAUCCUGUUUGUGCUGUAUAUUCACAACUUCUACAAAUUUGGUUUCUGCAUUUUUUUACUGGGUUCUGCUGUCUGUGAAUCCCGAGUUAGCAAAUCGGUUUAAUGAAUCUUG